rnacentral:rRNA from 1 species
UAAUAUUUAUUUUUUUUUUUAAAAAAAAGGUAUUUUAUUUAUUUUGUUUUUUUUAGUAUUUUUUUAAAUAAUUAUUUUAAUUUUCUGUUAAGCAUUUUAAAUUAUUAUUUUAGAUUAAGUAUUUGUACCUUUUGUAUCAGGGUUGUUUUAAUUUUAAAUUUAUUAUUAAUUUCCCGAAAUUAAAAGAUUUGAUUAUUUAUUUUUUUUAUUAUUUCAUAAUUAUUUAUAAUUAAUAUUCAGUGGUUAUAAGUUAUUCGUUUUUAAUUAUAUCUGGUUAAUUAAUAUUAAAUUUAAUUUUAAUUAUUUUGUUUAAGUUAAUUAAUUAGGGAUAAUCUUUAUUUUUUUUUAAAAUUUUUAUUUUUGUAUUUUUAUUAUGAAUUAAAUUUUUUAUUAAGUUUUUAAUUAAUUUUAAUUUUUUUUAUAUGAUUAUUUUUUAUUUAAUAUUUUAUUAAUUUGAUUUAUUUAAUACUUUCUUAUUUUUAAUAUUGAUUAAAUUAGUAUAAUUUUUUAUUAUUAUUAAAUGAAUUUGACAAAUUUAAUUCUCAACUGUUUAUCAAAAACAUUUUUUUUAGUUUAUUAUUAAAAAUACAAUCUGCUCAAUGAUUUAUUAUUAAAUAGCUGCAGUAUUUUGACUGUACAAAGGUAGCAUAAUAAUUAGUCUUUUAAUUGAAGUCUGGAAUGAACGAUUUAAUGAAGAAUAUAUUUUAUUGGUUUUAUUAUUAAAAUUUUAUUUUUAAGUGAAAAAUCUUAUUAUUAUUAUAGGGACGAGAAGACCCUAUAGAACUUUAUAAUUUAUUAAUUAAUUGGUAAUUUAGUUUUAUUUAUUUAUAUUUAUAUAUAAUUAUUUGAUUGGGGUGAUUUCUAAAUAUUAACUUUAGUUUGAUUUUUCAUUUAUAGGUGAUUAUUUUGAUCUAAUGUUUUUGAUUAUAAGAUCAAGUUACCUUAGGGAUAACAGCGUAAUUUUAAUGGUAAGUUCUUAUUUAUAUUAAAGUUUGCGACCUCGAUGUUGAAUUAAGAUUAUUUUUGGGGGCAGUGUCUCAAUUAUAUAAGUCUGUUCGACUUUUAAUUUCUUACAUGAUUUGAGUUCAGACCGGUGUAAGCCAGGUUGGUUUCUAUCUUAUAAAUUUUAAGUUAUUUUAGUACGAAAGGACCAUUUAAUUCAAUUUUUUAUUGUUAAUUUUU